CCCGACAGCCAUCUCUCUCUCUCUCUCUCUCUCUUUCCAUCUCUUUCCCAAGGUAGAAAAAAACUGCAUCAUGGAGUUGCUUAUUUGAGCUUCUUUCUUAUCCGGGCUGGUGAAAAGUUUCCAUCUUUUUUCUUUUUGGUGGCUGCUGUUAGUUGUUCUGAUGGGGAACUGCUUAGAUUCUUCUGCUAAAGUUGAUGCUACUCUCAGCUCUCAUAAUAUCCCUUCUGGUAAUAAAUUGAUUGGCUUUCCUUAUUUCUUUGUUUGCUUUAUGUUUUUCAUGUACUGAUUUAUGAUGGGGUUUGUGUUUUUCACCUGAAAGAUCAGUUCUUGAUAGGGCUCUUAUGCUCCCUUGUAUUGAUAAUUGUGUGCUUGAACUAGACUUCUUAGUUUGGCUGGUGGGUUGGUUGAUUAAUUGUGUUAGGUUGUGUUUAGAUAUCCAGAUUUGGAUUUGGUAAUUGAAAGUUCAAAAUUUUUUUGG
rnacentral:lncRNA from 1 species